GAUGAGCGCUGGCGGCGUGCCUAAUACAUGCAAGUAGAACGCUGAAGGAGGAGCUUGCUCUUCUGGAUGAGUUGCGAACGGGUGAGUAACGCGUAGGUAACCUGCCUGGUAGCGGGGGAUAACUAUUGGAAACGAUAGCUAAUACCGCAUGACAACAGUUAUUGCAUGAUAACUGUUUAAAAGGGGCAACUGCUCCACUACCAGAUGGACCUGCGUUGUAUUAGCUAGUUGGUGAGGUAACGGCUCACCAAGGCGACGAUACAUAGCCGACCUGAGAGGGGGAUCGGCCACACUGGGACUGAGACACGGCCCAGACUCCUACGGGAGGCAGCAGUAGGGAAUCUUCGGCAAUGGACGGAAGGCUGACCGAGCAACGCCGCGUGAGUGAAGAAGGUUUUCGGAUCGUAAAGCUCUGUUGUAAGAGAAGAACGAGUGUGAGAGUGGAAAGUUCACACUGUGACGGUAUCUUACCAGAAAGGGACGGCUAACUACGUG
rnacentral:rRNA from 1 species